CUGUAGCUCAGUUGGAUAGAGCGUUCGCCUCCUAAGCGGAAGGUCGCUGGUUCAAAUCCAGUCAG
rnacentral:tRNA from 1 species